GCCCUGGCACUGUUGUUUAAUCCAGCGAGUGCACCACAGGGCAGACAUAGGAAGAUAUAGCGAGGCUUCAAGUAGACUACAGGAGAUAUACUCUAGUGACAAGGAGUCAGACAUGUUGGUCCUGUGUGUCAUCUCUGUCCUCAGCCUUCUCUCAGUGGGACUGGCAGCUCCUCUGUCCUGUGAGGAUCUACUGAGACCCCUAAAGAUGAACAGCACAAACCAUAUUUUGGGUAAGUGGAUUUCUAUCGCGGAGAGCACUGAGGUCCCUGGUGGCAGGGAGUAUGCUGCAAAAGAAUGGAUCACAGGCUGGCUUCAGAUCUCUCCUGGGCUCCAGAACAACACUGUCAAAGAAUUACAGAUGAUAAACAUUGGAGGCAAAUGCAUUAGCAUGACCAGUGAAAUGACCAUGGAAAACAA